UCGGAGUCUGCAACCCGACUCCGUGAAGCUGGAUUCGCUAGUAAUCGCGCAUCAGCCAUGGCGCGGUGAAUACGUUCCCGGGCCUUGUACACACCGCCCGUCAAGCCAUGGAAGCCGGGGGUGCCUGAAGUGUGCAGCCGCAAGGAGCGCCCUAAGGUAAAACCGGUGACUGGGGCUAAGUCGUAACAAGGUAAC
rnacentral:rRNA from 1 species